CCUACGGGUGGCAGCAGUAGGGAAUCUUCCGCAAUGGACGAAAGUCUGACGGAGCAACGCCGCGUGAGUGAUGAAGGUUUUCGGAUCGUAAAACUCUGUUGUUAGGGAAGAACAAGUACCGUUCGAAUAGGUCGGUACCUUGACGGUACCUAACCAGAAAGCCACGGCUAACUACGUGCCAGCAGCCGCGGUAAUACGUAGGUGGCAAGCGUUGUCCGGAAUUAUUGGGCGUAAAGCGCGCGCAGGCGGUUCCUUAAGUCUGAUGUGAAAGCCCACGGCUCAACCGUGGAGGGUCAUUGGAAACUGGGGAACUUGAGUACAGAAGAGGAGAGCGGAAUUCCACGUGUAGCGGUGAAAUGCGUAGAUAUGUGGAGGAACACCAGUGGCGAAGGCGGCUCUCUGGUCUGUAACUGACGCUGAGGCGCGAAAGCGUGGGGAG
rnacentral:rRNA from 1 species